rnacentral:rRNA from 1 species
AAAAACAUCGCUCCUUGUAUAUAAUACAUAAGGAGUCGGACCUGCCCAGUGAAUAUUUUUAACGGCCGCGGUACUCUGACCGUGCAAAGGUAGCAUAAUAAUUUGCCUUAUAAUUGAAGGCUAGUAUGAAUGGUUUGACAAGAGUGUAGCUGUCUCUUUAUGAUUGAAUAGAAUUUUAUUUGUAGGUGAAGAAGCCUACAUUAAAUUAAAAGACAAGAAGACCCUAUCGAGCUUUAAAGAAAUUAAUAGAUUAAAACAUUAAUAAUUCUAAAAAAUUAACUAUUAGAAAUUUUAGUUGGGGCGCCUGAGGAACAAAAAAGCUUCCUUUAAACUUAAAGACUAAACGAGUAUUGAUCCAAAACAUUUUGAUUAAAGGAAUUAGUUACCGUAGGGAUAACAGCAUUAUCUUUUUUGAGAGCUCCUAUCGAAAAAAAGGUUUGUGACCUCGAUGUUGGACUAGAAUAUCCUAAAGAUGCAGCAGUCUUUAAGGGUUGGUCUGUUCGCCCAUUAAAAUUCUACAUGAUCUGAGUUC